rnacentral:misc_RNA from 1 species
GAGGGGGGGGGAAAUGGCCGCAAGAGACAUUAUGUGGCUGUGGGUCUUAAUCUGAAGAGGAAUGGGAUUACCUGUUUGUUUUACAGGGAUAACCCAGAAGAUACUACGGAUAAUUUAUGUCUCCAAGAUAACUAUUUUGUUAUUUUCUGGGGAAGUUGGGCUGGAAUUGGUUGGCCGCCACCUAAAAACCGAGGAGUUGAAGAAAAAUCAGAUAGAUACGGCUGCUAGAAGGGGAUAAAAAGA